rnacentral:lncRNA from 1 species
CACCUCCUUUUAUCCCUGGAGCCCUGUCUAGUCCUCAUACCUGUGUCUCCUGGCCUCUGCCCUCAUGGGGUCUUCUGUGCCCUGAUCCCUUCACCCUUCUUUCCUCUGCAGCCCCUGCUUGGUCCCCUCCCAGAACCCAGGGCCAGUCAGUAGGACUCUGCCCUUUCACUACAGAAGCAUGGGUUCAAUCCUGGUUGGGGAACUAAAAUCUCACAAGCUAAGUGGCAUGGCCAAAACCAAGAAACCACCAUGACAUCCCUGCUUUUUUAUUGGUGAAGUCGUGGACAGCUGCCUGUCUCCUGCAUUUCAUCAAGGCCUUCAAAGGUCUCUGGUCUGGGCUGAUGGUCUUCUAAACCCUCCUCUACCUGGUGUACAUCUGGAGCAUCGACUGGAACCGUGUGGCAGCGCAGACAGAUCUGUCCAUCCUGGAGAAAGAAGCACCAGCUGGGGCCAUCCUGCUGGACCUCAUCCGACCCAAGAGCCAGACUGCGCAGCUGAUCAGGGCGGCCCCUGCCAUGACGUCCUGACGGGGACCCAGCUGAUUGUGUAGGGCAGGGCUGCUGCAGUUUUGGCCGUUGCUAUCCUCGCAGUGGGAAUUUUAAUAAGACU